CGAGUCAUUGCAGCAAUGCAAGGCGGACGGCUCAGUAACACGUGGUCAACCCACCUUGUGGACGUGGAUAACCUCGGGAAACUGAGAAUAAACCGCGAUAGAUCAUUAUACCUGGAAUGGUUUAUGGUCGAAAUAGUUUACUGCCACAGGAUGGGACUGCGGCCUAUCAGCUUGUUGGUGAGGUAAUGGCCCACCAAGGCUAUAACAGGUACGGGCUCUGAGAGGAGAAGCCCUGAGAUGGGUACUGAGACACGGACCCAGGCCCUAUGGGGCGCAGCAGGCGAGAAACCUUAGCAAUGUGCGAAAGCACGACUAGGUUAAUCCGAGUGAUUUCUGUUGAAGAAAUCUUUUGUCAGUCGUAAAACCACAGACGAAUAAGGGGUGGGCAAGUCUGGUGUCAGCCGCCGCGGUAAUACCAGCACCUCGAGUGGUCAGGAGGUUUAUUGGGCCUAAAGCAUCCGUAGCCGGCUUUGCAAGUCUCCGGUUAAAUCCAGCUGCUCAACAGAUGGGCUGCCGGAGAUACUACAAAGCUAGGGAGCGGGAGAGGUAGACGGUAUUCUGUGGGUAGGGGUAAAAUCCACUGAUCCAUAGGGGACCACCAGUGGCGAAGGCGGUCUACCAGAACGCGUUCGACGGUGAGGGAUGAAAGCUGGGGGAGCAAACCGGAUUAGAUACCCGGGUAGUCCCAGCUGUAAACGAUGCAAACUCGGUGAUGCAUUGGCUUAUGGCCAAUGCAGUGCCGCAGGGAAGCCG
rnacentral:rRNA from 1 species